rnacentral:rRNA from 1 species
UACGUAGGGGGCAAGCGUUGUUCGGAAUUACUGGGCGUAAAGGGCGCGUAGGCGGCAAUUCAAGUCAUCUGUGAAAUCUCCGGGCUUAACUCGGAACUGUCAGAUGAUACUGCUUUGCUAGAGUGCAGAAGGGGCAAUCGGAAUUCUUGGUGUAGCGGUGAAAUGCGUAGAUAUCAAGAGGAACACCUGAGGUGAAGACGGGUUGCUGGGCUGACACUGACGCUGAGGCGCGAAAGCCAGGGGAGCAAACGGG